CCCUUAGAUGUUCUGGGCCGCACACGCGCUACACUGAAGGAGGCAGCGUGUACUCCGGGAUCGAAAGAUUUGGGUAACCCGCGAAUCUCCUUCGUGCUAGGGAUUGAGGUUUGCAAUUAUCCUUCAUGAACGAGGAAUUCCCAGUAAGUGCAAGUCAUAAGCUUGCGCUGACUACGUCCCUGCCCUUUGUACACACCGCCCGUCGCUACUACCGAUUGAAUGAUUUAGUGAGGACUUCGGACUGGGACCGAUGCGGCUUUCGGGCUGCGUCGGUAUUCUGGAAAGAUGUCCAAACUGUAUCAUUUAGAGGAAGUAAAAGUCGUAACA
rnacentral:rRNA from 1 species